UACGUAGGGUUCGAGCGUUAAUCGGAAUUACUGGGCGUAAAGCGCGCGCAGGCGGUUUUGUAAGUCAGAUGUGAAAUCCCCGGGCUUAACCUGGGAAUGGCAUUUGGGACUGCAAGGCUGGAGUUUGGCAGAGGAGACUGGAAUUCCCGGUGUAGCAGUGAAAUGCGUAGAUAUCGGGAGGAAUACCGAUGGCGAAGGCAGGUCUCUGGGCUAUAACUGACGCUCAUGCACGAAAGCGUGGGGAGCAAACAGG
rnacentral:rRNA from 1 species